CGCGCAGGCGGCCUUUUAAGUCGGAUGUGAAAGCCCGGGGCCUAACCCCGGAAGUGCAUUCGAUACUGAGAGGCUUGAGUAUGGGAGAGGGAAGUGGAAUUCCUGGUGUAGAGGUGAAAUUCGUAGAUAUCAGGAGGAACACCUGUGGCGAAGGCGACUUCCUGGACCAAUACUGACGCUGAGGCGCGAAGGCGUGGGGAGCAAACA
rnacentral:rRNA from 1 species